CAGGAUGAACGCUGGCGGCGUGCUUAACACAUGCAAGUCGAACGUGAAGCCCGGUACCUAGUAUUGGGUGGAAAGUGGCGAACGGGUGAGUAACACGUUGGUGACCUGCCCUGAGGAGGGGAAUAACCGUGGGAAACCACGGCUAAUACCCCGGAUGUCUAAGCUGUUAGAGGGCUUAGACUAAAGCCCCUGCAAGGGGUGCGCCUCGGGAGGGGCCUGCGGGCUGUCAGCUUGUUGGUGGGGUAAUGGCUUACCAAGGCGAAGACGGCUAGGGGGCGUGAGAGCGCGACCCCCCACAAUGGAACUGAGACACGGUCCAUACUCCUACGGGAGGCAGCAGUGAGGAAUAUUGCGCAAUGGGGGCAACCCUGACGCAGCAACGCCGCGUGGACGAUGAAGGCCUUCGGGUUGUAAAGUCCUUUUCUGAAGGAAGAUAGUGACGGUACUUCAGGAAUAAGUCCCGGCUAACUACGUGCCAGCAGCCGCGGUAAAACGUAGGGGGCGAGCGUUAUCCGGAUUUACUGGGCGUAAAGCGCACGUAGGCGGCAUCGUAAGUUGGACGUGAAAGCUCCCGGCUCAACUGGGAGAGGUCGUUCAAAACUGUGGUGCUUGAGGUUGAUAGAGGAGAGUGGAAUUCCCGGUGUAGUGGUGGAAUGCGUAGAUCUCGGGAGGAACACCAGUGGCGAAGGCGGCUCUCUAGGUCACACCUGACGCUGAGGUGCGAAAGCGUGGGGAGCGAACGGGAUUAGAUACCCCGGUAGUCCACGCUGUAAACGAUGGAUACUAGGUGUGGGAGGUUAUUUACCCCUUCUGUGCCGUAGCUNACGCGUUAAGUAUCCCGCCUGGGGACUACGGCCGCAAGGUUAAAACUCCAAGGAAUUGACGGGGGCCCGCACAAGCAGCGGA
rnacentral:rRNA from 1 species